UACGUAGGGUCCGAGCGUUAAUCGGAAUUACUGGGCGUAAAGCGUGCGCAGGCGGUUUUGUAAGUCUGUCGUGAAAUCCCCGGGCUCAACCUGGGAAUUGCGAUGGAGACUGCAAGGCUAGAAUCUGGCAGAGGGGGGUAGAAUUCCACGUGUAGCAGUGAAAUGCGUAGAGAUGUGGAGGAACACCGAUGGCGAAGGCAGCCCCCUGGGUCAAGAUUGACGCUACAUGCACGAAAGCGUGGGGAGCAAA
rnacentral:rRNA from 1 species